UCCCUGGUGGUCUAGUGGUUAAGAUUUGGCACCUUCACUGCUGCAGUCUGGGUUCAACCCUCGGUCUGGGAA
rnacentral:tRNA from 1 species